rnacentral:tRNA from 1 species
GGGUCCGUAACUCAGUUGGUUAGAGUCCCGAGCUUAUACCUCGGUUGUCGCUGGUUCGAGUCCAGCCGGACCCA